UUUUUUUUUCUUCUUAUUUUUUUUUUCCUUUUGCAAAUUAAUUUAUCUGGUUAUUUAUUACGUAUUUUUUUUUUUUUUCCCAUUUCCAUAGUUCUUAUCGUUUUUAACUCCUUUGACUUUAUAAACGUGCUCAACGCCAUGGUGUAUGGCAUGGCAUGGCAUGGCAUGGC
rnacentral:rRNA from 12 species